UACGUAGGGUGCGAGCGUUAAUCGGAAUUACUGGGCGUAAAGCGUGCGUAGGCGGUUCGCUAAGUCUGAUGUGAAAGCCCCGGGCUCAACCUGGGAACUGCAUUGGAAACUGACGAGCUUGAGUGUGGCAGAGGGGGGUGGAAUUCCACGUGUAGCAGUGAAAUGCGUAGAGAUGUGGAGGAACACCGAUGGCGAAGGCAGCCCCCUGGGCUAACACUGACGCUCAGGCACGAAAGCGUGGGGAGCAAACAGG
rnacentral:rRNA from 1 species